UAGUUUCAUUAGAAAACUUUCAUUAAUAAUAUAAUUAUUGACUUCAAGUAAAGGUGCAGCAAAUAAGAAAGACAGAGGUGGGUUACAUUUAAUUGAAUAAAACGGAUAAAGUUAUGAAAUUACUUUUGAAGGUGGAUUUAAUAGUAAAGUUUAAUAAAACUU
rnacentral:rRNA from 1 species